GAAUAUACUUGUGGCUGCACCCUCGGGCCUGGUUAGUACUUGGAUGGGAGACCGCCUGAGAAUACCAGGGGGUGUAAACU
rnacentral:rRNA from 1 species